rnacentral:rRNA from 1 species
CCCUUAGAUGUUCUGGGCCGCACGCGCGCUACACUGAUGCAUUCAACGAGUCUAAAACCUGCUCUGAUAGGGGUGGGUAAUCUUUUGAAUGUGCAUCGUGAUUGGGAUAGAUGAUUGCAAUUUUUCAUCUUCAACGAGGAAUGCCUAGUAAACGCAAGUCAUAAGCUUGCAUUGAUUACGUCCCUGCCCUUUGUACACACCGCCCGUCGCUCCUACCGAUUGAAUGAUCCGAUGAAUAUCAUGGAUUGAGGAUGCAAGUAGGUUCGCCUAUCUUCAUCUUCGAGAAGUGAAGUAAAUCUUAUCAUUUAGAGGAAGGAGAAGUCGUAACA